rnacentral:rRNA from 1 species
GAUGAACGCUGGCGGCGUGCCUAAUACAUGCAAGUCGAGCGAACAGACGAGGAGCUUGCUCCUCUGACGUUAGCGGCGGACGGGUGAGUAACACGUGGAUAACCUACCUAUAAGACUGGGAUAACUUCGGGAAACCGGAGCUAAUACCGGAUAAUAUAUUGCACCGCAUGGUUCAAUAGUGAAAGACGGUUUUGCUGUCACUUAUAGAUGGAUCCGCGCCGCAUUAGCUAGUUGGUAAGGUAACGGCUUACCAAGGCAACGAUGCGUAGCCGACCUGAGAGGGUGAUCGGCCACACUGGAACUGAGACACGGUCCAGACUCCUACGGGAGGCAGCAGUAGGGAAUCUUACGCAAUGGGCGAAAGCUUGACGGAGCAACGCCGCGUGAGUGAUGAAGGUCUUCGGAUCGUAAAACUCUGUUAUGAGGGAAGAACAAAUGUGUAAGUAACUAUGCACGUCUUGACGGUACCUAAUCAGAAAGCCACGGCUAACUACGUG